rnacentral:rRNA from 1 species
GAAGGACUUACUCUUCGGGGUGAGAGCGUACACAGGUGCUGCAUGGCUGUCGUCAGCUCGUGUCGUGAGAUGUUGGGUAAGUCCCGCAACGAGCGCAACCCUGCAUUCAGUUGCCAUCGGUAAGGCCGGGCACUCUGGAUGGACUGCCGGCGACAAGCCGGAGGAAGUGGGGACGACGUCAAGUCAUCAUGGCCCUUAUGUCCAGGGCGACACACGUGCUACAAUGGCCGGCACAACGGGAAGCGAAGGGGCGACCCUGAGCGGAUCCCACAAAAGCCGGUCUCAGUUCGGAUUGCAGUCUGCAACUCGACUGCAUGAAGUUGGAAUCGCUAGUAAUCGUGGAUCAGCCAAGCCGCGGUGAAUACGUUCCCGGGCCUU